AAGUCAUGUUGAGUACAAUUUCUUAGAAAACCCUUGUACCUCUCCCAAGCUUCGUAUAAUGGUUGUCGGAUUUCUUGUUGGAAGUUGGCUAUCUUCUUCUUUAGGUU